UCAGGAUGAACGCUAGCGGCAGGCUUAACACAUGCAAGUCGAGGGGCAGCGGGAUGUAGCAAUACAUUGCCGGCGACCGGCGGAUGGGUGCGUAACGCGUAUGCAACCUACCUUAUACAGGGGAAUAACCUUUCGAAAGGGAGACUAACACCCCAUAGUAUUGAUUUAAGGCAUCUUAGAUUAAUUAAAUAUUUAUAGGUAUAAGAUGGGCAUGCGUAUGAUUAGCUAGUUGGUAAGGUAACGGCUUACCAAGGCGACGAUCAUUAGGGGUUCUGAGAGGAAGGUCCCCCACACUGGUACUGAGACACGGACCAGACUCCUACGGGAGGCAGCAGUGAGGAAUAUUGGUCAAUGGGCGCAAGCCUGAACCAGCCAUGCCGCGUGCCAGGAAGACGGCCUUAUGGGUUGUAAACUGCUUUUACAUAAGACUAACCGUAUAUUUGCGAAUAUACCUGAAUGUAUUAUGAGAAUAAGGAUCGGCUAACUCCGUGCCAGCCGCCGC
rnacentral:rRNA from 1 species